AGUAAGUGCUGUAGUUGAUAGGAUUGUAGAAGUGCCAGUUUCGAGUGACUUGAGGAAUGAUUGUCCUGUUAAACUUGAGAAGAUGCAAGUAUAUACUGAUGCCGAUUCACUGAGCGAUUUUUCUGAAGAUGACGAGGAGCAGGAUUUAAGUUCCGAGGUGGAAAAACCUCUUGUUCCUGCACCUGAACUGCCUCCAUCUUCUGGCAAUAUUGGUAUUCCAGAGGAGUAUGUAUCACACCUUUUGUCCAUUUAUAGCUUUUUACG
rnacentral:misc_RNA from 1 species